CAACAACAACAACAACAACAACAACAAUCACUACAGUCAUAACAAAAAUAGUAAGAACUUUCGAAAAGAUAUACUAAAAAUAGACGAAGUAGAUGUUCUUAGUAGUUACAUUCAUGAAUAUAAAAAUAAUAUAUUAGACGAAGAAGAAGAUUUUAGCAUAUUAUUAAAAAGAAGCGUCAUCGACAGUGAUACUUUAAAAAAUGACAAGUUACAAAGUGACACAAUAAAAAAUGCGCAUAGAUUGCAAGAAUUAAAAAAAAACCAAAACAGUAACGAUGAAUAUAACGAACAAGUGAUAGAUAUGUACCAAUAUGAUGAGAUUUACAGAGAUUACAAUAAAAGCAUUAUAGAUGAUUUAAAUUAUUCCGACAUUGCUAUAAAUUAUAGUACAGACGAAGACAAAAAUUACAUGUCAAGAGAAGAAUAUGUUGACGAAUGUAUAAAACAAGAACAUGGAAAUAAACAGGGUUACCAUAAUAAGUGUCAAAAUUUUAAAUCCAGCACUCCUGAUAGUAGCUUUAGCAUACUAAAAGACUUCGAUAAUAAUUUAGAAAGCGGUAUAAUGGUUUUUGAAAAAAUUAAAAAAAAAACUUUUAAUAAAUUUUAUGAUAAUGGAAAAGUAUUAGUUACAAAUAAAAAUCAGCAUAAUGGUAUAGAAGGACAAGAAGUAAUAGUAUCCGAAUGUAUGGAUGGGGUAAUAAUGACAUCUCCAAACGGAUAUGUUAAUGAUGAACAUUCCCUAUGGCUUAAUGGACAUUCUAAAGAAAUAGACAAUGAAAAUGAUGCCGUUAGGGCAUAUUUCACCACACAAGAUGACGAAAGCGAAGGGAGUGAUGGUAGCAACUGUAGUGACAGUAAUUGCAGUAAUCCUAACAAUAAAGUAUGUAAUAAUGAUUCAUAUAAUAGCAUUUGUAGAUUGAAAAAAAAAAAUAAUUUUGAAUUAAAAUUAUCAAAUAAAACAAAGGAUACACAUCUUUUUAUUUUUAUUACUUUAUGUGAUAAUUUACAAGAAACAUUAUUAAAUAAUUUUAAUAAAGAUAUACAAAUAAAAUGCCUUGAUAUAUUUUACCAGUUUUGUAAUCUAAGUGAAGAUAUUGUUAAUAUUAUUAUAUCCAAUACUUCGUUAGUAGAUUGGAUACUUGAUUUCUUAGCAAAUACAAAAUAUGAGGGUUUAAAAUAUAAAGCUUUAAAUUUUUUAGUCACUUUUUUUUUUAACAACUCUUUAUUUUCUCAUACACAUGCCUAUUAUAUGCUAGAUGUUAUGAUUAACAUUAUUUUAAACUAUGUAAAUAAAACUAAUGGUGUUUCUAGUAAUUUUGAUAAUGAUAUAUAUGAUAUUGACAUAAAUGUUAACUGUUCUUUUUUUUUUUUUUUUAUCAAAUCAUUAAAUAUGCUCAUUGAUAUAUCAAAAUCUUCUAUUAAACCUUUUCACGUAUUUAAACUAAUGAAAGUUAUUUCUGCUUUUAUAGUAUCAUCACCAGACGCUACUCCUUCUAAUGUAACAGAAAUUAUUAUGCUAUUCGAAAAUAUUUUACUAAUUAAACAGAAUACAAAAACAGAAAAUGCUAGCCACGAUUUCGUCAACACAACAGGGGAAAUUAGUUAUAGCAGCGAAUCCAGUACUAAUGUCAGUCAUACUAUUUUACAAAAUGAAAAAAAAUCAAGUACCUUUUAUUAUAAUAAUAAUAAUGAAAAUGUAAACGAUUUUUCAUGGUCUCUGCAAAAUAAAAAAUAUAACACAUUUGAUAUUUUAGUAGGACGAACAAAAAGUAACUAUAAUAGUAGUAUGGAUUCCGAUAUAAAACAAACCAAAAAUGAAAAGGCUACUUUCAAUAAUAAAGACAUUCUUAUUUCAAAUGAAACAAGUUCCUAUAAAUAUAAAAAUAAUAUAAACAAUUACAACUUUGAUAUAAACCAAAGCAAUUCUACGGAUGUAGUACAUAAAAGCAAACAACACAUCAAAUUACACAACGCAAUUAACAAAGUAUAUAUUACUAACAUCCCAGCACUUUAUGAAAUACUAAAAACUGCUUUAAAUGUUAUUAAGAUUUUAAAUAUAAAUAAACAGGAUAUAUCUGUUGAGUUAAUUUUUCAUGACACAAAUGAUUUUAUUUAUGAGCUCACCAAAGCAAUGAUGAAACUACUUUUUUCAGUAGUAUACAUAAUAAAUAAAAAUGAAAAAUCAUCAGUUAUUAAUUUAAAUAUUAUAGAUAAAAAAAAAAAUAUAGAAUGUAGUAAUGAAUUAAAAAUAGUUAUAUUUAUAAAAUUAAUUCUGCAAUUUUUUAUAGAAUUACAAUCAUUUUUUAAAAAUAUUACAAAAGAAAAAAAUACGAUAUUCAAAAAAGAUGUUAUCAAUUUUAUUCAAUUUUUAUAUCUCACUUGUAUAUUUAUUUUUGAAAGUAUAAAUGAACAGAAAAAAAUGUUUAGCGCAAUAAGUACUAAUAUUUUUUUCACUUCAUUUUUUACACCAUUCUUUCAUUUUUUUUCUAAUGUGCUAAAUAAUUUUCACGACAUUUCUACGUCCCUUAUUACAACCAUGCCACUACACUCUACCACCAAUAUGGAUCCACGACAAAAUACAACAAAAUUAAUGGAAUACUCAAAAGAUGGUUAUAAUUCUCAAAACAAAAAAGAGCAAACCAAACGUGGAAAUCUUAAUAAGAACAGUCUCGUUGAUGAUAACGACGACAAUAACAACAAUAACGACAAUAAUACUAAUAACGAUAAUAACACUAAUAACGAUAAUAACAACAAUAACGUCAAUAACAAUAAUAACGACAAUAACACUAAUAACGACAAUAACACUAAUAACGACAAUAACACUAAUAACGACAAUAACAAUAAUAAAGACAAUAACAACAAUAACGACAACCGCCAUAAUAACGAUUCUUUUAGUAAUACUUUUUUUAUGUACAAUAAGUACAUGCGACAUGCCCUAAUCAAGCAAAAACCGUUUACCUUGUUUUUUCAAUAUGUGUCCAAUAAUAAUUAUAGUACCAAUUGCUACCGAAUCCUGGAUCUACUCAUUUAUGAUGAAGAUGCUGUGUUAAAAGUGAGGCCAAAUAAAAACGAUAUUUUAAUUGAGCUAAUAAAUAAAAACGAUUUUUAUUUUACUAAAAUAUUAUCCUUCAAUUUUAAUGAUAAUGAAGGAAUAAUCGAAACAGUUAUAUAUAUUUUUUAUUUAUGUCUUAGCUAUGAUAAAGGUUUUAUAGAAAAAAAACUAAAUCAUAGUAAGAUGCAUAAUUAUGUCGAAAAUAUAUUUACUUAUAAUGAUGAUAAUAUAAAUUUAAACCCUUUCUUUUUAUUUAUGGCAUUAACAUACGCUUAUUAUUAUAUAACCCAAGAUAAAAUAUUGUCAAUUUUAAAAUGUAUUAAAAAAGAAAUGCAUAAAAUAAAUUUACAAUCCUGGUUAAAUAUUAAAAAAAUGAAAAAUAUACAUUUUGUUUUUGAUUGUAUAUUUUCGAUGAAAAUUAAUACUACUAUUUAUAAUUAUUAUUUAGCAUUCAUUAUUUAUAUUACCAAAUUAGAAUUGUCCUUAUAUUCUUUACAGCAAUCAGACAAAAUAGACAAUAGGUUGUAUGUGUCUAUUUCUAAGAAUAUCGACCUACUGAAUAACAUCUUCGAAAAUGUCGAACGGGACAACAUACAAAACAAAGAUGUAAUAUAUGUCUACUAUUUAAUAACAAAACUAAGAAAAUAUGCUAUCGAGCAAAGUAAAAAUUUAAAUUUAUAUAAAAUGAUGAACACUGUGAUUAGGUAUAUGAACACAAUAGUUAAUGUAUCGGAAGAAAUAAAUAAUGUCUUUUCUUUUUUUGUUAUAUUCUUUGAAAAUUUAGAAAUAUAUGCUCAAACAGAUAUAUUUAACAUAAUUAUUGUAUUACAAAAGCUAUCAUUUUAUGUAAAAUCAUCAUUAAAAAGAUAUUUUGAUAAAAAUUUGCAUUGUUUAACCGAUGAAUAUAAAAAGAAUGAUGUUAUUUCCACGUCCUUAAAAUUUGAAAAUUGGUUUUUUUAUUUCAUAUUAAAUUUAAUUUUAUAUUGUAAAAAAUAUAAUCAAAUCAAAAAUAUAAAUAUUUUAUCAUCUUCAGUACCAUUAAUACAAUUAUUAGUCUAUUCUAUACAAUUUACUAAUAAUGAUUUCAAAAGCUUAGCAAUUUUUAUACUAUCAUUACUUAUUUUACCUUAUCCCCAAGCACAUAAAACGAUAUCACCGCUUCUUAUGAUAUUAUCAACGUCUUUCGACAAAUGUUCCGAAGAUAUAUUACUAUCUUCUGUGUCCACACAAUCGCUUGGUAGUAUUAAUAGUUAUGAUAAUUAUAACAGCAGUGACAUUAAUAUAAAUAAUAACACUAACAGCAAAAGUGAUAAUGAAUACGGUACAACUGAUGAAGACAAUAUUAGGAAAAAAUAUGUAAUUAGAAAAAACUUGUUUUAUCCUUUAAUCACUAGUAAACACGUGAAUUUAAGAGUAUCAGCUUUGUCGCUUCUAUUGAGUUUGCUACUAACAAAUGAUGUCGUUUUUUUAGACGAAGAAGUAUUUGAUUUUUUUGUUAUCCUAAUUAAUUGCUCCUUUUUAAGCGAAUGGAAUGAUCCCCCAAAUGAUUUACUAUUCGCCAUUAUUAACGUUUCAUUACUUUCUACAGUUUUGAAUUUAAAAAUUAAAUCGUUUUGCUUUAAUUUUAUAUACUCUUUUCGACCAUUUUUUUUGAGAAAUGUGUUACCUUUAAAUAAAAACGAGAAAAUAAUAAUUCACAAAUUAUUUUUUAUGUUAUUAAUUGUCAAAAUAAAACCAUUAUGGUUUGAUUUAAAAAAUUUCAGCGGAAAAGUAAUGAUAAUAUUAAUUUUGACAUUAACAUAAAUUGUAUAAAGAGAAAAUCCGUCUUUAUAUGUAUUUACUUUAUAUUUAUUUACUUUAUAUGUUUUUAUAUGGUCAUGUUUAUAUGUGCUUAUAUAAACAUAUCUACAUAGGCAUGUUUAUGUGUAUAUUUUUGCAUAUUUCUUUUGGGUUAGAUUUUAAAAAUUUUGAUUAACGUUGUCACAAAAAAGGACUUAGAUCUCAUGACAUUUAAUUGUAUAUCCUCUCUUGCUUAUGAAGUAAUUUUAUAAUAGCAUAAUGUAUUAUCAUUGCUCCAUUUUUAAGUUUAUGCAUGUAUAUAUAUAUUGUUAAUGUUUUUGCUUAGAUCAUCCUAAUUUUAACUUAUUUUUGCUUUGUAUGCUUUUUUUUCUUUAUUAGGUUUUUAUUAAAAAUAAAAAUGAAAACAAUAUGAGCA
ensembl:lncRNA